GUGGGCCUUAGUUUUGCGCCAAGCUACGCGAACUGAAGUGCUGCUGUUUUGCCUUGCUGUGCUUUUACCGUCUGUUCCCGUUGUGAGAAUUCUUUCCCUGCUGCUGUCAGCUUUUACAGUGGACGUCGGCGUGGACAACGGCCAUAUGCAUGCCGGUUAUCGGAGUCAGCUGGCGUGCAUAUUGAUUGACUGUUAACUUAUCGUCGUGUGGACGAUGCGGAGUGCCGACGUGGAGGAGACUAGGGUGCCUUGGUGGUGGGAUCCCUUGAGUGUACACACCUGCCUUGUCUAGUUUAUUAGUAUGCGGAGUGCCGACGUGGAGGAGACUAGGGUGCCUUGGUGGUGGGAUCCCUUGAGUGUACACACCUGCC
ensembl:lncRNA